UGAGGAAUAUUGGUCAAUGGGCGGGGAGCCUGAACCAGCCAAGCCGCGUGAGGGAAGAAGGUACAGCGUAUCAUAAACCUCUUUUGUCAGGGAACAAAGGCGGGGACUAGUCCCCGGAUGAAGGUACCUGAAGAAAAAGCAUCGGCUAACUCCGUGCC
rnacentral:rRNA from 1 species